UUCCAGUGGGUUCUUGUCUCGCUGACUUCAAGAACGAAGCCGCGGACCCUCACGCAAGAAGACAUCAUCUCUGAACCAGAAAAGGGGCCCUCAACAGAUUUGGAAUCUGCUGGCACCUUGAUCUUGGACUUCCCAGCCUCCAGAACUAUCAAGAUGUCAAGCAUUUCCAUCACCCUAGAGAGUUCCCUCAGGUUCAUAUCCAGACAGCCCUUCCCCAUUCAAAGGU